CUUUGCAUUUUUCCAGUGCCUUUGACUUUGAAAGUACUACCAGAAUGAUGGCUGCAUUUUCAGUGGUGGAAAUUAUUGCUAUGUCUCAGAAGCAAGGAAUCACAGGAUAUCUCCUUUCCAGCGGUGAUAUAUGACUCUCAUAAGUGAAAGCCACACCAUCAUUUAUAACACCCUAAUGAGUUUUUUUCAUAGAAACAGAACAGAGAUUCCUAAUGUUUCUUGGAACUUCCCAAAGAAAAGGGAAAGAAAAAAAAAAUUCAACUAAAUGCCCGUUUGUUAGCCCAGCAUUGGAAGGGAACAGCCUUAAAGAAUAAUUGGUCGCUCCUAAGAAACCAUUAAUAUAACAAAAGCUGUCAAAAGAUAUGAAGGAAGAAAGGAUGGUACUUUUUGGUUAUGAGGUGGGGUGACUGGAAAGCAGAAGGUGGAAUCAUCUGAAGGGCACUCACUCGCUUGUCUGGUGGUUGAUGCUGACUGUUGGCUGGGACCAACAUGGGGCUGUGGCUGGAACACCUACAUGUGGCCCUUCGUUCGGCUGCUCAUCU